UACGUAGGGGGCGAGCGUUGUCCGGAGUUACUGGGCGUAAAGCGCACGCAGGCGGUCUGCUAAGUUUGGAGUGACGGUUGGUGGCUUAACUGCCAAAGUGCUUCGAAAACUGACAGACUUGAGGGCUUCAGAGGGACACGGAAUUCCGGGUGGAGUGGUGAAAUGCGUAGAGAUCCGGAGGAACACCAAAGGCGAAGGCAGUGUCCUGGGGAGUACCUGACGCUCAGGUGCGAAAGCCAGGGGAGCGAACGGG
rnacentral:rRNA from 1 species